AUGUGCUAUAUUGAGGUGGGUUAUAUAAGUCUGUAAUUGGUCAGACGUCUCUACAACUACCGUAAAUAGUUCACUAUAACUCAUAAAAAAAGGAGG
rfam:Lachnobacterium bovis DSM 14045 genome assembly, contig: IE72DRAFT_scaffold00003.3